AGUGAACGCUGGCGGUAGGCCUAACACAUGCCAGUCGAACGGCAGCACAGUAAGAGCUUGCUCUUACGGGUGGCGAGUGGCGGACGGGUGAGGCAUACAUCGGAAUCUACUUUUUCGUGGGGGAUAACGUAGGGAAACUUACGCUACUACCGCAUACGACCUACGGGUGAAAGCAGGGGAUCUUCGGACCUUGCGCGAUUGAAUGAGCCGAUGUCGGAUUAGCUAGUUGGCGGGGUAAAGGCCCACCAAGGCGACGAUCCGUAGCUGGUCUGAGAGGAUGAUCAGCCACACUGGAACUGAGACACGGUCCAGACUCCUACGGGAGGCAGCAGUGGGGAAUAUUGGACAAUGGGCGCAAGCCUGAUCCAGCAAUACCGCGUGGGUGAAGAAGGCCUUCGGGUUGUAAAGCCCUUUUGUUGGGAAAGAAAAGCAGCAGGUUAAUACCCCGCUGUUCUGACGGUACCCAAAGAAUAAGCACCGGCUAACUUCGUG
rnacentral:rRNA from 1 species